UACGUAGGUGGCAAGCGUUGUCCGGAUUUAUUGGGUUUAAAGGGUGCGUAGGCGGCCUAUUAAGUCAGUGCUGAAAUAUCCCGGCUUAACCGGGAGGGUGGCAUUGAUACUGAUGGGCUUGAGUAGAGUUGAGGUUGGCGGAAUUGACGGUGUAGCGGUGAAAUGCUUAGAUAUCGUCAAGAACACCUAUUGCGAAGGCAGCUAACUAAGCUCAAACUGACGCUGAGGCACGAAAGCGUGGGGAUCAAACAGG
rnacentral:rRNA from 1 species